GGAGUCAUAGCUCAGUGGCAGAGUGCGUGCUUGGCGUGCACAGGGUCCUGGGUUCAAUCCUCAGUGCCUCCA
rnacentral:tRNA from 1 species